GCUGGAGUAGCUCAGCAGGUAGAGCAGCUGACUUGUAAUCAGCAGGUCGGGGGUUCAAAUCCGUCCUCCAGCU
rnacentral:tRNA from 1 species